AGAUCCUACCUCUCAAAAGUUUCUACUCCUUUUCCUAUUUGCUUUGAAUUGUGUUGGAACUAAUAGAUUCUUUAGAUACAUCUAUUUAACCUUAUUUUCAUUUGUUCUAUUUGACUGCAGGAGAUGAUAUCCAAGCCUGAAAUUGGACAAUCGUUUUAUGCAUGAAACAAAGCUACUUUUUUCCUUCCUAUGUUGCUUUACUAUUGAUUCCAAGUAGCUUUUUCUUUCUUCUUUAUAUAGUUUUUAUAAUGAUUUGUAUUUUUUAAAAAGGUUUUAGGAUAUCAAGCUAAUAUAUAUGGGUGGACCAGCAUGAUUUUUUUGAGGUUCUAUAUUUUUCUUUCUUUUAUUUAUUUAUUUAUCCUGAUAUUAGUCCUAAACAUAUGCAUUUCUAAAUCUUGAUUCUACACAACUUAGUUUUUGCUGGAUUGAAUAGUUCAUCAUUUCUUUGUAGGACUAAUUUAGGAGUCGUUGGACCCCCUACCAAAUCUCAGCAAUCAAUACAAUUCUUCUGGUGGCCUCGAUGGUAGAUGACCCACUGUGAGAAAAUCACGCCAAUUGCUUGAUCUUGCUCAUCUAACCAUGGUACUUCUGCUUAAAACAUGUGAACUAUACAUCUUUUAAGGCCUUAGCUGCUGGUUUACAAUCCAGUCUAGAGCCUACAGAUUGUAUAUAUCAAGCUACCAAGAUGGAUCUAUACGAGUAUGGGAUGCCACAUAUCCAGUCCUGUCACUUGUAUCUGUAUUGGGAGGGGAGGUAAGAGCCUCAUCAUGGAUAACCCAUAAAAUAUUUAUCUUUGAAAUGUAAUGGAGGUACCAAGGAUCAAAGUGGCUGGCAUAAGUGCUCUAGCAUCAGUGCUGGACUUCUAUUCAAUCACUAUGAGCUUGGUUGUUGGAAACGAAUGUGGUCUGAUUUUCAAUUCUAAAAAGUGGGGCCCACAGUUCUGUUAUACGGACCAUUGGUCUGUUUCUUUCCACUGAGGGUGGAAAAUGGUCCAAUAAUCCAUCAGAUCAUAAGAUCCCAGCCACCUAUAUUAGGACCAAUUUCUGUUCUUAAUAGUCUACUUGGAAAGAAUCAGUGCAAGUUGGGACAUGUUAUUUCCCUCAACUCUAUAAGUUAAACGAGAAACUGUAUUUUGGGAAGUUUGUUGGUUAAAACAAUAUUAAAGCUCAGGAAAAUGAGAUUCCCUUUGUUGUGACUCGCUAAUUUUUCUAGUUGCUAGCCUUGCAGAUUCUUAGUGGGAGGAACUAUAUGAUACAUGAUGGCCUGCAUCUUUGCACAGUAGUGGGGCCCAUGGUCCAGUAAUCUAGAUCAUUGGUUUGUUCUGUCCUAUUGUUGAAAUAUUUUAUAACCUAUGCCUUGUUGAAGUUCGACUAUUGUCCACAUGCAUGUAUGGAUUUUUUUUGGUUAGAUAUGUGAUUAUUAUUUUAUUUUAUUUUUUGAAAAAAAAAAAGGUGCCAGAUAGCCAUUUGAACCAAAAAAAUAAAAAUAAAUUUACAUCUCAAGAAUCAGGUAUUUUCUCAAUUUAUCUUGAAAUGUGUAAUAUCUAGUGAUAUGACAAUAUUUAUGGUAAUCAUCUAUAU